rnacentral:lncRNA from 1 species
AAGUGAAUAAAAACACCAUGGAAAAAUUAAUUUGGUAAUACGAAGCAUGGGCUACAUUUCCUGAUUUCAUUUUGUGAUUUGAUGUUAGUCAGUAAACCUGUGAUUAUAUGCUACCCACAGUGAAGGUGAAUUCCAUAUAUCCAAUGAAGUUUUUCAGGAAAACAUCUUAGCUUCUUACAGAAGAAGAAGCAUGAAAUGGCUUUUCACCUCCACCUGUAUGCUGUUUCUAAGCUCAUGAAGCUAGGGAUUUGCCAUGGGGAACCUAGAGAGCAAGAGGGAUUGCUCACUUAAGGGGAAACUAACUACCACGUUAUGCAGCUCUACUGUAAAAAUGCACAGGGUGAGAAACCAAGGCCUCCUUCUGACAGGAGCCACUUGCCGGUCAUGUGAGUAAGCCAUCAUGGAGAUAGGUCCGUGUUUAUAACUGGUGUCAUAUGCCUGUCCCACUGCUGUAUUUUGAAAGCAGGAAACUCAUUUCUUGAGUGUUGCAGGUUCGCAGAGGAAGAAUUGUGCCCCUGGAUGAAUUAUACCUACAGCCUCACUCAUAUCCAAUUUAGAUAAUGUAGGUAAGAGUUGGAAAUUUUGAACUGAUGAGAUCUUGGACUUUGAGUUGAAGCUGUAAUGGAUUGAGACUUUUGGGAACCCUGAAGUGCGGUGAAUGUAUUUUGUGUGUAGGACAUAUAUGAAUCAUUGGGGGGUUAGAAGUGUGCUAUGAUAGAUACCCCCACAUACACACACAAGAGGUCCACUUUUUACUCCCUGAAGCUUGUGAAUAUGUUAACUUACUUGGCAAAAAAAAAAAAAAGGGAAAAAAGAAACUUGGCAGAUGUAAUUAGGUUAAGGGUCUUGAGAUUGGUAGAUUCUUUGGGUAGACCAACUGUAAUCACAUGGCUCCUUGUAAGAGCAGAGAGGCAGUACAUUGGAGGCCAGAGAAAGAUAUCAAGAUCCUAUGCUACUGGCUUUGCUGAUGGAGGAAGAAGCCAUUAAGCCAAGGAAUGCAGGUGGCAUCUAGAAGCUAGAAAAAGCAAGGAAACAGAUUUUGUCCAACAGCCUCCAGAAAGAGAAGAAUGAAAUACAAUUUACCAUAGAAUGCGGCUCUUCGAAAGACUGAAAAAAUUGACAGGACCAGAGAGAGUCCAUCUAGAAGAAUGUCAAACAAACCACUGAAGUAACGUGUUGACAAAAUAACAGCUCUAAUAAAUUGCAAUUUGACUAUAAA